AUCGACCCUUUCACAAAGGAGCAGCUUCUCGACAUCCUCCAAACAGCUGCAGUCCGUCACCCCGACGUCCUUGACUCCAUCCGCAUCGUAGCCGACGGCGACAUCUCCCUCCGCAAGCUCUUCAUCAGGGGCCUUUCCACCAACACCACCACCGAGACCAUCCGCUCUCUCUUUGCUUCUUAUGGCGAGCUCGAGGAGGCCGUCGUAAUCUUCGAUAAGAACACUGGAAAAUCCAAGGGAUUUGGGUUCAUCACAUUUAAACAUGUAGACGGUGCUUUAAUUGCGUUGAAGGAACCAAGCAAGAAAAUUGACGGCAGGAUGACUGUUACCCAGCUGGCCUCUGCCGGGCUAUCUAAUUCUGGUUCUAGUGGUGGCGAUGUUUGGUCUAGGAAGAUUUAUGUUGGGAAUGUCCCGUAUGAUAUACCUUCAGAGAGAUUGUUAGGGUUUUUCUUGACGUAUGGAGAGAUUGAAGAGGGACCUCUAGGGUUUGAUAAGGUGACGGGUAAAUCAAAGGGUUUUGCUUUUAUUAUAUACAAGACUGAGGAGGGUGCAAAAGCAGCCAUUGCUGAUCCUAUGAAGAUUAUUGAUGGCCAUCA
rnacentral:misc_RNA from 1 species